CCAUAAGCAACUCCUAAAUGUUUUCAGAUAUUGAACUCCUUGCUUUUUAAUUAUAUAGUUGUUUGUUGAUCACCCAAAAAUACUGUUCUAUGAUUUCGCCAUAUGGCAAGAUAUAAACGCUAAUCAUACUUGUUCCAAAUACUUAUCCAAGUGGACGAAUGAGAUACGAACAAAAUAUAUCGCGUUAUAAUUUUAUACAGAAAAUGAAUUGCCCAUCAAAAAGAAAGAGUUGGUGAGUCUCUCGAGUGGACUAAGGUUCCUUCCUACAACUGAGAUUGCUUCCCUUGAGUCGUAAGCGAAGUAUGUUCUCACUGGGGUGAAAAUACAACUGAGAUUUAUAUCGGGUAGCAUAGGAUCCAAUGAAGUGAUUCUAAGUGAUACUAGAUUACUCAGUUGUAAGUGUGGUUGAAUCACUAGAGUGGUGAAAAUCAUGUAUUCGCUUUGGUUGGUUAAUGAAAAGUUAAAGUUGAGUUAAAAAAAAAAAAAAAAAAGGUUCCUUCCUACAACGUAAACGAAGCUCAAGAAGACACGAAGUUGAUGUGAUGGAUCAUUAAGCCGCCCUUGCCCCUGGCUGCUUACACAUGGUAUUAGUGAUGGGCCUAACUCACACCCAAAAGCUAGCUCAAGAGUGGAGGUUUACCCAUACACUUAUAUAUUGCCCAAGGACCAUCAUCCCACACGAUGUGGGACUCUAAUAGCCCCUCUCGAAAUGUGGAUGGGAAACGGUCCAAUCGGAAACAGCCCAAGUCCAACAUCUCGGACAUACCACAGCAAGAUGGGCCAUUUGUACAGGCUACAUAAAUAGGAAACUGUUUAUAUGGGAAAUCAUCUGCUGGGCUUUUACCAUGGACUCUGAUACCAUUUUAGUGAUGGGCCUAACUCACACCCAAAAGCUAGCUCAAGAGUGGAGGUUUACCCAUACACUUAUAUAUUGCCCAAGGACCAUCAUCCCACACGAUGUGGG
rnacentral:lncRNA from 1 species